UUCCUCUUUGCCUUCCACCAUCAUUGUAAGUUUCCCGAGGCCUCCCCAGCUAUGCCUCCUGCACAGCCUGCAGAACUGAAAUGGUCCCACUGAGGCCCAAGACUUGACAGUGGAAGUCUUGCCAAUUUAAAGUCUAAUGAAGAUUGUGAAUUAUUGACUGGCACAAGUAGAGCUUCCUGCACUCAAUGAUGGACAACUGAAGGCCUGUGCUAGCACUCUGUUUGGUACUUAGGAGAGUGUGGCUCAAUUUUUCCACUUUCUUUAAGAUGUGAAACUUCAGUCAACCUCUUUGUGUCAGAUUCCCUCCAUCUUGAAAACAAUUUCUGCCGCCUCCUACCUUCUCUGCUACAGGAUGACUAAUGUCCGUGCAGAACUGCAGGACUUCUGAAAGAACCACAUGCUUUUGGGGCCAGAGGAAGCCAACCACCUGGCUGUGUGUUCCCCUUCUUUCAUCUCCUACUGCUAAGGGCCUUGGCCUCUGAAGGGCAGCAACAAGAGCACCAGCUAACUUUCUUGAAAAUUCACUCUGCCAGAAGCCCUGCUGAGAGCUCUACACACCUUCGUCUAUUUAAUCAUCCCAAAGACACUGUUGGGAGGUAUAGUUACCAGCCCCAUUUAGCAGGUUGGGAGACUCCGAGGUUGUCACCUGCCAAAGGCCACAGACCUAGAAAGUGUUAGAACUGGGACAAACCCACAUCGGAAUGAUUCCAAAGCCCUUACUCUUAGCAGUAAGACCUCGAUGUCUCCCUGGCAUUGUUAGGAGUCCUCAAAUCCAUUGUCUAUGGACUGAGUACAAAAUACAUACAUAUUCUAUAGAGAAUAAUAACAUAUAAAUUCAUCAUUAAUACAUUCCUUGGAGCUUAUUAUAUUCUCAGUUAAUUGUGUACAAAAAUUGCAUCAACUCAAAAAUGCUGGCAUUCUCUGUCCUUCAGUCGUUAUCCCUGUGUCCUCUGUGUACAGUACUGAUUAGCUUGUCUGGUGCCAUUACUCAUCUCCCAGUGUUUGUGUCACUUCUUCAACAAGGUAAACUCCUAGUAAGUGGGACUACAGAAAAUAGGGUUUCUUUUGAGUCCUGCCUGGUCCCACUCCAAGGUCUUACACUUGAUAGAUACAGAUUUAGCUAACUGGUUGAUUACAACAACCUCUGUAAUACUCCUCCUCAUAUUGGCCCACAGAAUGAUACAUCUCAAGUCUCCUGCCCUGUAUCCCGCUGGAGAUGCCCUAAUGUGGCCUGCAUGCUUCCAACAGCCCAGACUGUAAUGAAAAUAGCUACCAUGUAUUCAGCACGUUCUGUUCACUAGGCUCUAUACUCGGUGCAGGGGAUACUGUUGUGAAGAAAACAAAGCGCAGAGCUCAGCUAUUGUAUUAAUGCAAUGUGGGAUGGCAUUUCAUUAACAUAACCACCUAGAGGAGGGUAUCAUCUUCUCCCUUUUACUGAUGGAAAAGUUGUAGAGGAGCAGAACUUGAACUAGGGUUUAUCUCAAUAUGUUUUGAUUUGUGGGUCACUACCCAUUGUUGGAUUAAUGGGUGCUAAAUGUAUUUAGUGGGUCAUAACUAACAUUUAUUUUAAUGGAUUGGUUUGGGAUGGAAGGACCAGAGUACAUAGCAUGUAAUAGAAGUAUUAUUUGCUGAAACUUUUGUUUCAUUUACAUACAGACAUAUAGAGAGUUGCAAUAUAUUUCUUACUGUGAGUCAUGUCAGAAAACAUAUGAAAGCCACUGGUUUGUUCAAAUCCCAAUCUGUUCUUCUA
ensembl:lncRNA novel transcript